GCGAUGGCCAAUAACGAUGGCGCGCAGUUGAAACAGCGAUUGCGUUCUUAUAACACUGGCCAGAUCAAAUAUCUAUCUUAUCCGUAGCGUCACAAUGUGUAAUUAGCCGACAUUUGGCGUAUGAACUGAAGAAACAUGUUG